UUGGUGGUGUUGGUGGUGGUGUUGUUGUUGGUGGUGGUGUUGUUGGUGUUGGUGGUGUUGUUGGUGGUGGUGUUGUUGGUGUUGUUGUUGGUGGUAUUGUUGGUGGUGGUGUUGUUGGUGGUGGUGUUGUUGUUGGUGGUGGUGGUGUUGUUGUUGGUGGUGGUGGUGGUGUUGUUGUUGGUGGUGUUGGUGGUGUUGGUGGUGGUGUUGUUGUUGGUGGUGGUAUUGUUGUUGGUGGUGGUGGUGGUGGUGUUGUUGGUGGUGGUGUUGUUGGUGGUGGUGUUGUUGUUGGUGGUGUUGGUGGUGGUGUUGUUGUUGGUGGUGGUAUUGUUGUUGUUGUUGGUGGUGUUGUUGGAGGUGUUGUUGUUGGUGGUGGUGAUGGGGCAGUUGUGGAGAGAGUGGAGAGUUUCCCAUACCUGGGCAGUGUGCUUAUGACCGGCUCCAGUUUAUCAGCAGAGGUCUCACUCCGAAUCAGUCAAUUAACAACAGCACUAGCAGGACGAGGAACUGCUGCUGUGGUAGACGCAAGGCGGUGAGGCGGCUUCGCCGAGGACGUCGCUCCACCGCGGAGGAGAUGGAGCCAUCGAGUGCGCCACCGCGUGUCGCGAGGUGGAUCGUGCUGCUGGGACUGCGAGAGGUGGCGGCCACUCGGCUCAAAGCAGCCCUCGAUCCAUCCAGCAGUGGAUUGGUCACGACAUGACGAGGGUGACGCGACUCCUCCCUGUGGAGACGGAGCGAUGGAAUCGUCAACUCGCUGAUGCAUGGAUUGUCACAGUACGACUCCUCUCCGUGAAUGCUUCUCACAACCGAGGAUGUUCGUCAUCGUCCUCAGUGGAGGGUCACUCAUUCUCCUCUGAGGCACAUCGCAGCUGCCUUUGACAUUCCUCUCCGAAGACGCUGCUGGAGCCGUCAACCACAACGGAACACCAGAGGCGGCCUGAUGCGCACAACUCAUUCAUGGAUGCAAAGUUAAAGACGAGUCACAGUUACGCUCACUCAGGUUGGCCAGGUCGCCCUCGUAAGCCGUGACACCAGGACGACUUCCUCUUCGCAGAAGAGAAUGAACUUUGCUUCAUAAAACCCUCGGCAGCUCCACCCUUACCUCUUGGCACCGGCCUCUGAAAAUGGACCACAUGAAGGCGCAUCCUGCUAAAUCAUAAAACAAAUCUGGGGUCCGCUCGGUGACGUGUGGUGGAUUCGGCGUCGACUCUAGAUCGACACGGCGUUUUUUAAAAUAUUAUUAUAAGUACGGCCUCUUGCUCCCCGCGAGCUGGUUUUAAAUAUCAUUUUGAGUGAGGCACGCCCCGUGACGCUGCUGAGCAUUCACGUUCUGCGCGGGGGCCCCUUCCCACCGCCGCACUCAGACUCAGCCUGCGAGCCGCCGCUUAGCCUGCCCUGUCCCGCGCAGAGCCAUGCUUCCAUUGGUGCUGGUGGUGGCCUGUACGUGCUGGCUGCUGGCAGCGGUCGCGCCUGCCGACACGAGCCUGCACAGGCGUCGAGUGGGCGGGGCGGGAGUCGACUCCAAGUGCUCCGUGACUGCCGCCGCCCAGGACGCGGGCGACGCGACGGAGUUCACCUACGACGUGCAGAUGCCGGCCGUCCGUCCGCAAAAGCAAGAUGCCUACCUUUGCUCCAUGGUGCCUAUGCCUUCCCCUCGGACCAUGUACAUCGG